rnacentral:rRNA from 1 species
ACACGCUGGCGGCGUGCCUAAUACAUGCAAGUUGAACGCUUCUUCUUAUCGAACUCGGUUCACCAGAAAGAAGAGUAGCGAACGGGUGAGUAACACGUGGGUAACCUGCCCAUCAGCGGGGGAUAACACUUGGAAACAGGUGCUAAUACCGCAUAAUACUUUUUCUCUCAUGAGUGAAAGUUGAAAGGCGCUUUUGCGUCACUGAUGGAUGGACCCGCGGUGCAUUAGCUAGUUGGUAGGGUAACGGCCUACCAAGGCAACGAUGCAUAGCCGACCUGAGAGGGUGAUCGGCCACACUGGGACUGAGACACGGCCCAGACUCCUACGGGAGGCAGCAGUAGGGAAUCUUCGGCAAUGGACGAAAGUCUGACCGAGCAACGCCGCGUGAGUGAAGAAGGUUUUCGGAUCGUAAAACUCUGUUGUUAGAGAAGAACAAGGAUGAGAAGAGAAUGUUCAUCCCUUGACGGUAUCUAACCAGAAAGCCACGGCUAACUACGUG